AGAGUUUGAUCCUGGCUCAGGAUGAACGCUAGCGGCAGGCCUAAUACAUGCAAGUCGAACGGCAGCAUAGUGUAGCAAUACAUUGAUGGCGAGUGGCGCACGGGUGCGUAACACGUAUGUAACCUACCGGGUACUGUGGACUAUCCCCCGGAAACGGGGACUAAUUCCACAUAGGAUGAUUGGGUGGCAUCACUUAUUCAAGAAAGAUUUAUCGGUACCUGAUGGACAUGCGUCUGAUUAGCUAGUUGGCGAGGUAAAGGCUCACCAAGGCGACGAUCAGUAGCUGGUCUGAGAGGAUGAUCAGCCACACUGGCACUGAGACACGGGCCAGACUCCUACGGGAGGCAGCAGUAGGGAAUAUUGGACAAUGGGGGCAACCCUGAUCCAGCCAUGCCGCGUGAAGGAAGAAGGCCCUCUGGGUUGUAAACUUCUUUUAACUGGGGAUAAACCCUCACUAUAAGUGGGGCUGAAGGUACCAGUAGAAUAAGCACCGGCUAACUCCGUGCCAGCAGCCGCGGUAAUACGGAGGGUGCAAGCGUUGUCCGGAUUCAUUGGGUUUAAAGGGUGCGUAGGCGGGCAUAUAAGUCAGUGGUGAAAUUCUGGGGCUCAACUUCAGAUGUGCCAUUGAUACUGUAAGUCUUGAGACGAGUCGAGGUAGCUGGAAUGUGUAGUGUAGCGGUGAAAUGCACAGAUAUUACACAGAACACCAAUUGCGAAGGCAAGUUACUAGGCUCGACUGACGCUGAGGCACGAAAGUGUGGGGAGCAAACAGGAUUAGAUACCCUGGUAGUCCACACUGUAAACGAUGGUUACUAGAUGUUCGGGUUUUGACCUGAGUGUCCAAGCGAAAGCGAUAAGUAACCCACCUGGGGAGUACGACCGCAGGGUUGAAACUCAAAGGAAUUGACGGGGGCCCGCACAAGCGGUGGAGCAUGUGGUUUAAUUCGAUGGUACGCGAGGAACCUUACCUGGGCUAGAAUGCGCGUGACGUUACGAGAAAUCGUAAUUCCCUUCAGGGCACAAAGCAAGGUGCUGCAUGGCUGUCGUCAGCUCGUGCCGUGAGGUGUUGGGUUAAGUCCCGCAACGAGCGCAACCCCUAUUCCUAGUUGCCAACGGGUCAAGCCGGGGACUCUAGGGAGACUGCCUGCGCAAGCAGUGAGGAAGGUGGGGACGACGUCAAGUCAUCAUGGCCCUUACGCCCAGGGCUACACACGUGCUACAAUGGACGGUACAGAGGGUCGCAAGCCUGCGAAGGCGAGCUAAUCUCAAAAAGCCGUUCUCAGUUCGGAUUGGAGUCUGCAACUCGACUCCAUGAAGCUGGAAUCGCUAGUAAUCGCGCAUCAGCAAUGGCGCGGUGAAUACGUUCCCGGGCCUUGUACACACCGCCCGUCAAGCCAUGGGAGCUGAGGGUACCUAAAGCCGGCCACGCCGUCUAGGGUAAAAUCAGUGACUGGGGCUAAGUCGUAACAAGGUAGCCGUACCGGAAGGUG
rnacentral:rRNA from 1 species